rnacentral:lncRNA from 1 species
GAUAAUAUCACACAGUAUAUCACGAGUAAAACGUAAACCGCGCGCGAGAAUUUCACUUGGCGCGACCGUUACAUUUGGAAAAAUACGUUAAAAGUACGGCACGUUAAGACACACUGAACAGAAGUAAAUCUAUUCGCUCCUAGAGUUUUGUACGCCUUGAAUUUUCGUUCCGGGCAAAGUUUUCAUGUGCGCGUAUUCGCUCGAGGAGGAUACGCAAUCCGUUCGGUAGAAUGUCGAUCGUGCCAAUAAUGAAACUUUACUAAUUGUCGCGCAAUCAUACAGAGAUACAAAACUCUAGGAGCAAAUUGAUUUACUUCUGUUUAGUUUAGCCUCGAUUCUUGGUGCUUUUUUCGGGUUUCGUUUCGUGAAGUCACACAGCAUACCACUGUUUUAAGUUCUAAUUGUAAGUAAAUUUUUUUUCAUGUAAACGAAAAUAGUGAUUGAAUAGGAUUCCUCGAAAAUCGCGUUCGGCCUAUUUGAUUUUAAGUGCAAACGCUUGUCCAAAGUUUUUUCCGUCAUCGAAAAAAAGCGAGGCUUCCGCUUCGAUGCUUCGGAUAAUCGCUUCUCGGAAAUCGUCGAGGCUCCGGGAUGCUUGUCCGAAGUUUUUUUCGUCGUCAAAAAAAAGCGAGGCGCCACUCAGGCGCCAGUCCCCUCGACGAAUUCCGAGAAACGAUUACCCGAAGCAUCGAAGCGGAAACUUCUCGGAAAUCGACGAUUUCCAAGAAGCGAUUAUCUCCCCUUUUCCGCGAAAUCCCGAGUCCGGCGACUCACGGUAGCCAAUCAGCUACUAGCUCCGCCUACUAUUCUCUCCUUCCCUCUUUCAAACGCUUCAACGGUUCCGGGCAGUCCGCGCGGACUGAGCUCAGUUGCCUGACGAGAGGGGGUCGGUGGGUCAGUUGUAUCGCGAAGCUUCGGGAGUGAACAUGUACGCUGCUCGUCUAUCGAAAAAGAAUAUCGCGAUCGCCUCGUGUGUGUGUGUGUGAGUGUGUGUGUGUGUGUGCGGUGUGAAGUGCAUCGUCAUUGCCUUCCUCAGGAUUAUCGCUGCUUCAGGAUUAUCUUCGCCGUUGCCUCCCUCUCUGCUUCAGGACGAUCGCUGCGAACGAGAGCAGUCCAGAUGCAAGUAUGAAAAUCCGAAAACGUGGCCGGCUGUCCACAUGGCAAUAUGGAAUAUCUUUUCGCAUUGGGUAACUGACGAUGUCCUUGCAAUGGCACGACCCAAUACCGCGCAAAUAAUAAAGAAAGAUCUAAUUGCCCAGUUCCAAAGGUGGAGUAUAAAAACCAUAAUAAACUUGCAAACACGCAAGGUGAACACGCAAGUUGCGGUGGUCCACUAGAAGAGAGCAGCUUCACAUAUGACCCUAAUGUUUUUAUGAAAAACAACAGUAAGCAUUAAAAAUAAAUAUUAAAGUAUUAAAAAUACUUACUAACAUUAGUUUGUAAUAUUUAUUAAUUACUGUAAAUUUAUCUGAUUAUUCAGUUAUCGAGAAUAAUUUUUAAAAAUGUUGAUUGCUUUUUAAAUAUAUUUUUGCAAUAAUAUCAAAUUAGAUAUAGAAAGGUAUAACUUGUAGUUUAAUCAUUUUUAAAAAUCUAUAUUUAUCUUUAAUAACUUUCUUAUUAAUGGAUAAAUUAAAGCAAUAUAUUAAUAUUUUAUGUAUUCAUGUUUCAAAAAUCGAUAUCCUUUCCGCUAUUGUGUAAUACAUUGCAAAUAAUGUAACGUUUGAAAAAAUUACUUAUUCAAAUCAUUCUUACUGUAUCGUAUUUCACAUUUACAUGAUUAUAUGUAUAUUAUAAAAUAAUGACGAUUGUGUUAAACGAAUGUAGACUAUCGUGUGGGAGCAUUUCUUCCCCAAUCCUAACAACCACCAAUUAGAUCGAAGUAUUUUACAAUGCAGUAAACGCGUAUAUCUGUAAAGAGAGAAAGAAAAGUUUUAAAAUAAUUUGCUGCCACUCUUAUUAUUUCUUGAUAGAAAAGUUUUCAACUCGAGCUGUCUCAAUUACAAUCACGUGAAAAUCUGUGUGUUACAGUUUACUAUUAUAAUUUUGACUCGGUAUUCCGGAAAAAGAAUGUAGCAGUAGCAGCAGCAGCAGCAGCAGCAGGAGCAGCGACAGCAAUCGGUGAGUGAAUUUUUAUCAUGUAUAUGUGGAACAAAAUGAUAUGUGAUAAACGUGAUGCGAGAUAAAAUAUUGGUUCUGUUCCUUGCUAUAUCUGUACAGUGUCAGUAUUGCACAUUUGUAGAACACGAUUAUGCACAUUUGCAUAAAACAGAUUUAAAAUAUGAAUGCAUGUAAUUGUAAAAUUUACGGGUAUAGCAUGAAACAGAACCAAAUAAACGUGGACAUAGCAUAGAAGAGACCCAAA